rnacentral:rRNA from 1 species
GGGAGCCGCAAGGUGACUGCGUACCUUUUGUAUAAUGGGUCAGCGACUUACUUUCAGUAGCAAGGUUAACCGUUUAGGGGAGCCGUAGAGAAAUCGAGUCUUAACUGGGCGAACAGUUGCUGGAAGUAGACCCGAAACCGAGCGAUCUAUCCAUGGCCAGGAUGAAGGUUAGGUAACACUGACUGGAGGUCCGAACCCACAUCUGUUGAAAAAGAUGGGGAUGAGCUGUGGAUCGGAGUGAAAGGCUAAUCAAGCUCGGAGAUAGCUGGUUCUCCUCGAAAGCUAUUUAGGUAGCGCCUCAUGUAUCACCCUCGGGGGUAGAGCACUGUUUCGGCUAGGGGGCCAUCCCGGCUUACCAAACCGAUGCAAACUCCGAAUACCGAGGAGUGCAAUCAUGGGAGACACACGGCGGGUGCUAACGUCCGUCGUGGAAAGGGAAACAACCCAGACCGCCAGCUAAGGUCCCAAAAUCUAGAUUAAGUGGGAAACGAUGUGGGAAGGCACAGACAGCUAGGAGGUUGGCUUAGAAGCAGCCACCCUUUAAAGAAAGCGUAAUAGCUCACUAGUCGAGUCGGCCUGCGCGGAAGAUGUAACGGGGCUAAAUCUAGUACCGAAGCUGCGGAUCUCGUAAGAGAUGGUAGAGGAGCGUUCUGUAAGUCUGUGAAGGUGAAUCGAGAGGUUUGCUGGAGAUAUCAGAAGUGCGAAUGCUGACAUGAGUAACGAUAAAGGGGGUGAAAAACCCCCUCGCUGAAAGACCAAGGGUUCCUGUCCAACGUUAAUCGGGGCAGGGUGAGUCGACCCCUAAGGCGAGGGCGAAAGCCGUAGUCGAUGGGAAACAGGUUAAUAUUCCUGUACCACCACGUGAUGCGAUGGAGGGACGGAGUAGGCUAGGUGAUCCGGGCGUUGGUUGUCCCGGUUCAAGGAUGUAGGCAGAGAGCUUAGGCAAAUCCGGGCUCUUAAUGCUGAGAUCUGAUGUCGAGUGUCUACGGACACGAAGUCAUUGAUGCCAUGCUUCCAAGAAAAGCUUCUAAGCUUCAGUCACGUGGGAUCGUACCCGAAACCGACACAGGUGGUCAGGUCGAGAAGACCAAAGCGCUUGAGAGAACUUGGGUGAAGGAACUAGGCAAAAUGGCACCGUAACUUCGGGAGAAGGUGCGCCGGUGACGGUGAUGGACUUCGCGUCCUAAGCUAUUGCCGGUCGAAGUAACCAGGCCGCUGCGACUGUUUAUUAAAAACACAGCACUCUGCAAACUCGAAAGAGGACGUAUAGGGUGUGACGCCUGCCCGGUGCCGGAAGGUUAAUUGAUGGGGUUAGCGUAUGCGAAGCUCUUGAUCGAAGCCCCGGUAAACGGCGGCCGUAACUAUAACGGUCCUAAGGUAGCGAAAUUCCUUGUCGGGUAAGUUCCGACCUGCACGAAUGGCGUAACGAUGGCGGCGCUGUCUCCACCCAAGACUCAGUGAAAUUGAAAUCGCUGUUAAGAUGCAGUGUAUCCGCGGCUAGACGGAAAGACCCCGUGAACCUUUACUAUAGCUUCACAGUGGACUUUGAAUAUGUUUGUGUAGGAUAGCUGGGAGACUUUGAAACCGGGACGCCAGUCUCGGUGGAGUCAACCUUGAAAUACCAGCCUGACAUGUUUGAGGUUCUAACCCAGAUCAGUGAAUCCUGAUCGGGGACAUUGUGUGGUGGGUAGUUUGACUGGGGCGGUCUCCUCCCAAAGAGUAACGGAGGAGCACGAAGGUACCCUCAGCAUGGUCGGAAAUCAUGCAAUGAGUGCAAGGGCAUAAGGGUGCUUAACUGCGAGACUGACAAGUCGAGCAGGUGCGAAAGCAGGUCCUAGUGAUCCGGUGGUUCUGUAUGGAAGGGCCAUCGCUCAACGGAUAAAAGGUACUCCGGGGAUAACAGGCUGAUACCGCCCAAGAGUUCACAUCGACGGCGGUGUUUGGCACCUCGAUGUCGGCUCAUCACAUCCUGGGGCUGAAGCCGGUCCCAAGGGUAUGGCUGUUCGCCAUUUAAAGUGGUACGCGAGCUGGGUUUAGAACGUCGUGAGACAGUUCGGUCCCUAUCUGCCGUGGACGUUGGAAAUUUGAGAGGGGCUGCUCCUAGUACGAGAGGACCGGAGUGGACGAACCCCUGGUGUUCGGGUUGUCACGCCAGUGGCAUUGCCCGGUAGCUAUGUUCGGAAAGGAUAACCGCUGAAAGCAUCUAAGCGGGAAACCUGCCUCAAGAUGAGAUUUCCCGGGCCUUCGGGCCCCUAAAGGACCGUAGAAGACUACUACGUUGA